UAUUAUAUGAUUUUUGCUCAACAAUAAACUGAUGCACCACAAUCAUUUUAAACUAAAAGUUGGUUUCAAAGUAGAUAAAAAUAAAGUAUUCUCAACAAGACGGGAGCAAACAUAAGCAACUGCAUACUAGAGUCUGCAAAACUUGUACUGCCACGAUACAAAUAACAACCAUUCUGAGAUAAAUAAUAGAAAUCAACUUAAGCCUUGUAACCCCUGCUCUUCCUCUUUCCUCUAGCUCUCUCAAACUUUCUUCCCUUGGCACGCACAUAUGGUUUGGUAUGGCUG
rnacentral:misc_RNA from 1 species